AGGUGGCCAAUCAAUGGGUAUAUAGCUAUAUAAGCACUGUGCGAUUGKGCCAGUCUUUGAAUUGUAUUUGACUGGCUUAACUUCUGAUUUCUGACUGAAAGUAGAACUCAAAACAAGAUGAGACUCAUCAUGCUUUCCGUGCUUGCCGUCAUCUGUUUUAUUGCUGUUUGUGAUGAAGCCAGUGCUGAGCCAAGACCUCCCCAUUCAUUCUGCCUAUCAGCUUGCGAAGCCAAGAAAAUUGAAUGUCUUCUCUCUGGGACUAUUGCGGAAAUAUGCGAAGAAAGUCAUUAUCAAUGCGAUAGUUCUUGCUAACCACACUCAACACUUGUAAUUAGAUUCAAUCAUAAGAUUCAAGCUAAAAUCAUAGCUAAUCAUGAAUAAAGAUAAAUGAAAUUACACUA